UACGUAGGGCGCAAGCGUUGUCCGGAAUUAUUGGGCAUAAAGAGCUCGUAGGCGGUUUGUCGCGUCUGCUGUGAAAGCCCGGGGCUCAACCCCGGGUCUGCAGUGGGUACGGGCAGACUAGAGUGCAGUAGGGGAGACUGGAAUUCCUGGUGUAGCGGUGAAAUGCGCAGAUAUCAGGAGGAACACCGAUGGCGAAGGCAGGUCUCUGGGCUGUAACUGACGCUGAGGAGCGAAAGCAUGGGGAGCGAACAGG
rnacentral:rRNA from 1 species